rnacentral:rRNA from 1 species
GAUGAACGCUAGCGGCAGGCUUAACACAUGCAAGUCGAGGGGCAUCGAGGGUAGCAAUACCUGUCGGCGACCGGCGCAAGGGUGAGUAACGCGUAUGCAAUCUGCCUCCAACAGGGGAAUAACCCGGAGAAAUCCGGACUAAUACCGCAUAAGACCACGGUACCGCAUGGUAUUGGGGUAAAAGAUUUAUCGGUUGGAGAUGAGCAUGCGUCCCAUUAGUUAGUUGGCGGGGUAACGGCCCACCAAGACAGCGAUGGGUAGGGGUUCUGAGAGGAAGGUCCCCCACACUGGAACUGAGACACGGUCCAGACUCCUACGGGAGGCAGCAGUGAGGAAUAUUGGUCAAUGGACGAAAGUCUGAACCAGCCAUGCCGCGUGAAGGAAGACUGUCCUAUGGAUUGUAAACUUCUUUUGUAAGCCAGCAAACCUUGGUACGUGUACCAAGCUGAGAGUAGCUUACGAAUAAGCACCGGCUAACUCCGUGCCAGCAGCCGCGGUAAUACGGAGGGUGCAAGCGUUAUCCGGAUUUAUUGGGUUUAAAGGGUGCGUAGGCGGACCGGUAAGUCAGAGGUGAAAAAGUUGAGCUUAACUCAAUCCGUGCCUUUGAUACUGUUGGUCUUGAAUAUGGAUGAAGUGGGAGGAAUGUGCGGUGUAGCGGUGGAAUGCAUAGAUAUCGCACAGAAGGCCGAUUGCGAAGGCAUCUCACUAAUCCAUUAUUGACGCUGAUGCACGAAAGCGUGGGGAUCAAACAGGAUUAGAUACCCUGGUAGUCCACGCUGUAAACGAUGAUAACUCGCUGUCGGCGAUACACAGUCGGUGGCCAAGCGAAAGCGAUAAGUUAUCCACCUGGGGAGUACGACCGCAAGGUUGAAACUCAAAGGAAUUGACGGGGGCCCGCACAAGCGGAGGAACAUGUGGUUUAAUUCGAUGAUACGCGAGGAACCUUACCCGGGCUCGAACGGCUGGUGAAUAUAGUGGAAACAUUAUAGUUCGCAAGAACACCA